GACGAACGCUGGCGGCGUGCUUAACACAUGCAAGUCGAACGAUGAAGCCUAGCUUGCUAGGUGGAUUAGUGGCGAACGGGUGAGUAAUACGUGAGUAACCUACCUUUAACUCUGGGAUAAGCCCGGGAAACUGGGUCUAAUACCGGAUACGACCAAUCUCCGCAUGGGGUGUUGGUGGAAAGCGUUAUGUAGUGGUUAUAGAUGGGCUCACGGCCUAUCAGCUUGUUGGUGAGGUAACGGCUCACCAAGGCAACGACGGGUAGCCGGCCUGAGAGGGUGACCGGCCACUCUGGGACUGAAACACGGCCCAGACUCCUACGGGAGGCAGCCGUGGGGAAUAUUGCACAAUGGGCGCAAGCCUGAUGCAACGACGCCGCGUGAGGGAUGACGGCCUUCGGGUUGUAAACCUCUGUUUGCAGGGAAGAAGAGAGAUUGACCGUGCCUGCGCAGAAAGUGCCGGCUAACUACGUGCCAGCAACCGCGGGAAUACGUUAGGCGCGCGAGCGUUGUCCGGAAUUAUUGGGCGUUAAAAACUUGUAAGCGGUUUGUCGCGUCUGCUGUGAAGGCCGGGGCUUAACUCCGUGUAUUGCAGUGGGUACGGGCAGACUAGAGUGCAGUAGGGGAGACUGGAAUUCCUGGUGUAGCGGUGGAAUGCGCAGAUAUCAGGAGGAACACCGAUGGCGAAGGCAGGUCUCUGGGCUGUAACUGACGCUGAGAAGCGAAAGCAUGGGGAGCGAACAGGAUUAGAUACCCUGGUAGUCCAUGCCGUAAACGUUGGGCACUAGGUGUGGGGGACAUUCCACGUUUUCCGCGCCGUAGCUAACACAUUAAGUGCCCCGCCUGGGGAGUACGGCCGCAAGGCUAAAACUCAAAGAAAUUGACGGGGGCCCGCACAAGCGGCGGAGCAUGCGGAUUAAUUCGAUGCAACGCGAAGAACCUUACCAAGGCUUGACAUAUACUGGACCGCAUCAGAGAUGGUGUUUCCCUUCGGGGCUGGUAUACAGGUGGUGCAUGGUUGUCGUCAGCUCGUGUCGUGAGAUGUUGGGUUAAGUCCCGCAACGAGCGCAACCCUCGUUCUAUGUUGCCAGCACGUUAUGGUGGGGGCUCAUAGGAGACUGCCGGGGUCAACUCGGAGGAAGGUGGGGAUGACGUCAAAUCAUCAUGCCCCUUAUGUCUUGGGCUUCACGCAUGCUACAAUGGCCGGUACAGAGGGUUGCGAUACUGUGAGGUGGAGCUAAUCCCUAAAAGCCGGUCUCAGUUCGGAUUGGGGUCUGCAACUCGACCCCAUGAAGUCGGAGUCGCUAGUAAUCGCAGAUCAGCAACGCUGCGGUGAAUACGAUCCCGGGCCU
rnacentral:rRNA from 1 species